GGAAGCGUGUGUCUCUGACACAUCUGAACAUCGAUCGCUCUCACUCAGCCGAUCUGCUCUGAUGAUGUCGACCGUACACAGUCGUCGGUGCUCCCGCUGCCUUUGUUCGCACGGUCGAGCGCUGCCUGUUCUAAAUUGCCGCUUUUCGGUGGCUAAUGGGUGUACAAUCGGCACUUUCUCCUGUAGUUUUCUAAAGUGGGGAGGGUAGCUACGUACAAACCUGCGCUUCCAUGUGCUGGCACUGCUCGAGGCAGUCUGCCAUGUUUUUG
rnacentral:sRNA from 1 species